AUUGAACGCUGGCGGCAGGCCUAACACAUGCAAGUCGAGCGGCGCGGCGGACGGGUGAGUAAUUCCUAUGAAUCUGCCUGGUAGUUGGGGAUAACUACCGGAAACGGGCGCUAAUACAUAAUACUAUCAGAUGAGUCUAGGUGGGAUUAGCUAGUUGGUGGGGUAAAGGCCUACCAAGGCGACGAUCCGUAUCUGGGCUGAGAGGAUGAUCAGUCACACUGGCACUGAGACACGGCCCAGACUCCUACGUGAGGCAGCAGUGGGGAAUAUUGGACAAUGGGCGAAAGCCUGAUCCAGCCAUGCCGCGUGUGUGAAGAAGGUCUUCGGGUUGUAAAGUACUUUAAGUCGGGAGGCGUUACCAACAGAAUAAGCACCGGCUAACUUCGUGCCAGCAGCCGCGGUAAUAC
rnacentral:rRNA from 1 species